rnacentral:rRNA from 1 species
GUGUAAUACAAAUCGGACUAGGAUAUAGCUGGUUUUCUGCGAAAAUUGUUUUGGCAAAUUGUAUAUUCCUCUAAAAAAUAGUAGGUAUAGCACUGAAUAUCUCGAGGGAGUAUGAAAAUAUUUAUCUCAGAUAUUUAAUCUCAAAAUAACUAUUUCUUAAAAUAAAUAAUCAGACUAUGUGCGAUAAGGUAGAUAGUCGAAAGGGAAACAGCCGAGAACAGUAAUUAAAGCUCCCCAAUUAAUAUUAAGAGAAAUAAAAGUUGUUGGAU